UGGGGAAUAUUGCACAAUGGGCGAAAGCCUGAUGCAGCAACGCCGCGUGAGUGAUGAAGGUCUUCGGAUUGUAAAGCUCUGUCUUUUGGGACGAUAAUGACGGUACCAAGGAGGAAGCCACGGCUAACUACGUGCCAGCAGCCGCGGUAAUACGUAGGUGGCGAGCGUUGUCCGGAUUUACUGGGCGUAAAGGGUGCGUAGGCGGAUGUUUAAGUGAGAUGUGAAAUACCCGGGCUUAACUUGGGUGCUGCAUUUCAAACUGGAUAUCUAGAGUGCAGGAGAGGAGAAUGGAAUUCCUAGUGUAGCGGUGAAAUGCGUAGAGAUUAGGAAGAACACCAGUGGCGAAGGCGAUUCUCUGGACUGUAACUGACGCUGAGGCACGAAAGCGUGGGUAGCAAACAGGAUUAGAUACCCUGGUAGUCCACGCCGUAAACGAUGAGUACUAGGUGUAGGAGGUAUCGACCCCUUCUGUGCCGCAGUAAACACAUUAAGUACUCCGCCUGGGAAGUACGAUCGCAAGAUU
rnacentral:rRNA from 1 species